GCUCACGUAGCUCAGUCGGUAGAGCGUCACCUUGGUAAGGUGGAGGUCGUCGGUUCAAUCCCGAUCGUGAGCUCCA
rnacentral:tRNA from 1 species